CCGUUAUUUCGCCAUACCUCUUUCCUUUCAUCACCGUUCUCUCUCUCUCUCUUUUAUACAUGAGCUGAAUAUGCAUGAUCGGGUUCAGGGUAAAGGAUUCGGUUAAGGGUACAAUGGAGAUCAUAUAUGGUCUAAGUGGGAGAGCAGUUAGAGACCGUUGAGAAAGAAACACCGAAUCAAUCGGACUUGUUGAGUAGAUCGAUGAGUUUAACUAUGAUUCUCAAAUAUGUAAACUGAUUCACUUCAUAUUUUUUGCUGUUCUAUAGAUCUUCUUGGACUAUGAAGUGGGUUUGUAAGAAGAUCUUGGUCUCACAUCUAAUUGCUCAUGAUAAGUUGAGAUGUGAUCUCAGUAUCUUAUUGAACUUUUAAGACUGUCUAUAUCGGAGUACUAAUGCCUGAAUGGGAUUGUGUUUCUGUGACCA